rnacentral:rRNA from 1 species
AUUGAACGCUGGCGGCAGGCCUAACACAUGCAAGUCGAACGAGUGGCGGACGGGUGAGUAAUGUCUGGGAAACUGCCUGAUGGAGGGGGAUAACUACUGGAAACGGUAGCUAAUACCGCAUACCAUCGGAUGUGCCCAGAUGGGAUUAGCUAGUAGGUGGGGUAAAGGAUCACCUAGGCGACGAUCCCUAGCUGGUCUGAGAGGAUGACCAGAAACACUGGAACUGGGAAACGGUCGAACAGUCACCGUGAGGGAGUAGGGGGGAAUAUUGGACAAUGGGCGAAAGCCUGAUGCAGCCAUGCCGCGGGUAUGAAGAAGGCCUUCGGGUUGUAAAGUACUUUCAGCGGGGAGGCGUUACCCGCAGAAGAAGCACCGGCUAACUCCGUGCCAGCAGCCGCGGUAAUAC